CCGCAGCCCAAGUGGUGAUCGCUUUUAUUGAGCCUAAAGCGUCCGUAGCCUGUCUGCUAAAUCCCUGAGUAAAUCGGAGGGCUUAACUUUCCGAACAUCGGGGAGACUGGCAGACUUGGAACCGGGAGAGGUCAGAGGUACUUUCAGGGUAGGGGUGAAAUCCUGUAAUCCUGAGAGGACCACCAGUGGCGAAGGCGUCUGACUAGAACGGAUUCGACGGUGAGGGACGAAGCCCUGGGGCGCAAACCGGAUUAGAUACCCGAGUAGUCC
rnacentral:rRNA from 1 species